rnacentral:lncRNA from 1 species
CAGGCCAGGGGUCCCCCCGCGGACAGCUGAACCCCAAUUCUCAGCACAGAGGCUGCCCCCUCCCAUCAUGGGCAGCAUCCUGGCUUUGCCCAGAGCUUUUCCUCACGAUCUUCCUAGAAGAGAGCGAUUCCUCCCCAGAGCAGGGAGGGAACCAGGGCUUUACUUCCUCUACACAUUCGCUGUGGAGGGGCAGACAAUGCCCGUCGGGACGGCACCAUCCGAGAUCUCUGAUGGCCCCACAACCACAGACCCAAGCCCCUGGGCAGCCUGGCCUCUGCCCUCCGGGGUCGCCUGUGGCUCACACCAGUCCCGGCCCUGCCUCCGGGGUCGCCCCGUGGCUCACACCAGCCCGGCCCCUGCCCUCCGGGGUCGCCCCGUGGCUCACACCAGCCCGGCCCCUGCCCUCCGGGGUCGCCCCGUGGCUCACACCAGCCUCCCAGCCCAGAGGAGGUGUGAGCCGCAUCCUUCCCGCAGGGAGUGAGGAUGGGGAGAGACGUCCACAAACAUCCUGACGCUGAACAUGAAGGAGGCUCUUACAGUCAGGGUGAAGGACGGCUGUGCCAUGGAUGACCCGUGCGCCUCCGGCCCGUGCCCCGAGCACAGCUACUGCACGGACACCUGGGAUGGCUACUCGUGCAUCUGCGCGCCGGGUGAGAGCGGCAGGGAGGGAGCCCCCACUUAUCCAGGCCACGGCCCGCCCCCUCCUCCGCGGGUGCCCUGAGAGCCUGGCCGUGCGUGCGGAGGAGUGUGUGUGUGUGCAAAUACAAGUGUGUUAGUGUGGGGGCUAAGUGCAGCGUGGGGGGGGCGAGUGUGAGGGGUGCACACGUGCGCCCCCCAACACCUCAAAGGCCCUGCCAGGAGCACAGGCGACGGGACUGUCAGCCGUGCGGAAGGGCACGAAGGCCCCCCAUCGAUGGAGGCGGCUUCCCGUUCUUGUAGGGUACUUCGGGAGAGACUGCGUGGACGUGUGCCGCCUGAACCCCUGUGAGCACGUCUCCGCUUGUGUAACGCCAACCCAGCUCCGCGCACGGCUACCUGUGCGAAUGCGGGCAGAGCUACUACGGCCAAUACUGCGAAAACAAGUGAGACCCUUCCGGCUGCCAGGGAGCCCGGGCCGGCGGACGGCCUCUCUGACCUCAGGGAGUGUCUGGGCCGAGCGGGGACCUAGAACGGGGGCUGUCUGGGCUGAGCGGGGACCUAGAACGGGGGCUGUCUGGGCCGAGCGGGGACCUAGAACGGGGGCUGUCUGGGCCGAGCGGGGACCUAGAACGGGGGCCGUCAGCUGAGCGGGGACCUAGAACGGGGGCUGUCUGGGCUGAGCGGGGACCUAGAACGGAGACUGUCUGGGCUGAGCGGGGACCUAGAACGGGGGCUGUCUGGGCCGAGCGGGGACCUAGAACGGGGGCUGUCUGGGCCGAGCGGGGACCUAGAACGGGGGCUGUCUGGGCCGAGCGGGGACCUAGAACGGGGGCCGUCAGCUG